AGAGUCUCAGGUGCCCUAUCAAGUUUAGCUUCUCAAGUUCCCCAGAACCAGCAUGGCAAGGAUCAUCCCUCCAGAAAAGGAAAUGAUUUCUCUGAUCGUGAUCAAACCACGUCAUGAUUUCAGUUGUAGGUGGUAGCUGAUCAAGACAGCAUGAAAUUUCAUACAGUUUCCUAACUUGAGAAAACAUGGUGAUGCAAUUCCUCCAACCAGAAGGGAUUUAUGGACAGCAGUGGCUAGGUCCUAAUCUGCCCUGAAUACAGGAUGACUAAACAAAUUGGCAGAUGGACGAAGCUUUCUCUCUCUCUAAGAAAAGUCUGCUGAGAACCCUCGUUCCCGCUCUGUUUCUGCCUCCAAGAAGAAAAGCCUAAAACUCACUUUCUUCCAGACUCUUUAAAGCUGCCAUUAAGAAGAAAGAAAAGGAUGAAAAGGAAAAAAAUCCUAUAAACCCCAGUUCUUGAAAGCAUUAGUCUGUGCUGUGUGCCUUGAUGGGCUUAUCUUCUGGAGGUGACAACAGGUACAGAUUAAGGAAACACAAUUUGUUGAUUUCUUGAUAAU